rnacentral:rRNA from 1 species
CCUACGGGAGGCUGCAGUGGGGAAUAUUGGGCAAUGGGCGCAAGCCUGACCCAGCAACGCCGCGUGAAGGAAGAAGGCUUUCGGGUUGUAAACUUCUUUUGUCAGGGACGAAGCAAGUGACGGUACCUGACGAAUAAGCCACGGCUAACUACGUGCCAGCAGCCGCGGUAAUACGUAGGUGGCAAGCGUUAUCCGGAUUUAGUGGGGGUAAAGGGCGUGUAGGCGGGAAUGCAAGUCAGAUGUGAAAACUAUGGGCUCAACCCAUAGCCUGCAUUUGAAACUGUAUUUCUUGAGUGCUGGAGAGGCAAUCGGAAUGCGGGGUGUAGCGGGGAAAUGCGUAGAUAUAAGGAGGAAAACCAGUGGCGAAGGCGGAUUGCUGGACAGUAACUGACGCUGAGGCGCGAAAGCGUGGGGAGCGAACAGGAUUAGAUACCCUUGUAGUC